rnacentral:misc_RNA from 1 species
GUUCUCGUUCGCAAAUGCGUUCCGUAGAACGUGCUGUUCUCUAGGGUAACAACGGCUGGGUACGCGGCAGCUGCAUCGCCUCUGGGCUGGAGCGGGUCCUGCGGUUUUGAACCGUUGUCCACCUCGAAGGUUUUCUCCCGCCGAUGGCGUCCGGGUUGGAGCACCUCCAACGGGCGCUCUGGAGACGGGGCCUUCCGUGCUUCAGCCUUGACUGGCUCACGCAAGCACACGAACGUUACCCAGACGUUGAAGAACUCGUAACGUUUGCUCUGGAAACAGUCGACUUUGAGGACCGGCGCGUCGUCGAGAGAGGCAGCCUUCCUGCGGAGGCACAGCCAGCGCUGCUCUCCAAGGAAGACGGCGUGGUCGUUCCCAUACGCGGGGAGCUUCUCGUUUUUCAGGUGCUGGACGUUGCGGACGUCAGCGCCGCUGAGGAAAAAGCGGAUCUUCCAAGCGGGCCCGAGCGCACUCUGAAGCUUCUGCUGACGGACGGUCGCCUCGAGUUGGCCGCUAUCGAGGACGCUCCGAUACCGGACCUCGGAACGAGUCUCCCUCGUUGCACGAAAGUCUGUGUGCGGAAACCUAUGCUGCUGCACGGGUUGCUGGUGCUGCGUCCCGAGAACACGUCCGUAGUGAGGCCUCGGCCGAGCUGCAUAUAGAAGGAGUGGCUGCGGCUGCCGCUUGGGCGUAUCGCAAACGAGUUCUUGGUGAUGCAUCGGGCGAGCAGCUGCCGCGUCCAGCUCGAGUGUCGGACCGAAUAUCGCCUGUUUGAUGAUGUAUCUGCGUGGAGCUUUCGAGAUGGAUACGCUUGUACGAAAAAUGAUCGUAGGUGUGGCAUGCCUGCAUGCUCGAGACACCGGCAGGAUGCGUUCUACGACUGUGCCUCGGAGGCUCGUGCAGAACGCUGCCGAGACGUGCACACUGGCGCUGUGGCGCUUUCGGGCUACGGAAGUCUGGAAAGAGCGUUCUCCAAGCUUUGCACAACGCCUAUGCCGGUACCUGCAAGACCACGCUGUGUCGUGAGGCACCCCUGGUUCCCAUGGGUCAUGCUUCAGAGCGCGAGUGAAGCGCCGCGGAUGCUGCUCCAUAGCAGAAUAGGUGCGGUGCUAGAUCGAACUAGCGGCCUGAUCUAAUAUGCACGCUGGUGCGUGAAAGUCUUCCAUGCACAUUUUGGGAUAUGGAAUCGAGUGCGUAGCAGAAGAUUGCGCAAGACUGUUUCGAUGCAUGCGAGUGCGCACGCUGUGACGCAGCAGGGGAUUUGCGAGCCUCGGCUGGCAGGGCCCCCAGCCGGCGUCCACGAGGGAAUAGCUGAGCUGUCCCGUCUGUGUGUGGCGUUCGCAGUAGCAGCAACAGCAACAGCAACAGCAACAGCAACAGCAGCGCGCUCGACUCCAGAGCAAGCGCUCACUGAAGAAACGCCACCGGGUAGGGCAUCUAUGCAGCGAACCAUAAUCCUCAGAGCGAAGUCUGGAGACUGGUGUGUGGAACACGGUGGAUCUGGUGCGGAAUGAUAUCUGCUUCCGUAAAUGCCGAUUGGAAUCGAGACAUUUAGGGAUCCCCUAUAAGAUUCAAGGAUCCUGCGCUACUGAAGAACAACUUGCGGGGACUCACCGAGGAUCCAUCGUCGUGUCCGAACGAUCGCGGCGAAGGAUGCAAACGCAUGAUCUCCCCAGUCACGCAUAAUGCCACGGACGGAAGGUGCAUAAGAUAUUUCGAUUCCAGUUCUAUUCGUGCACGCAUGAGCUCCCUAGUCACGCAUAAUGCCACGGAGUAAAAGUACACAACG